UAAAACAGUUUUAUUUAGCUGUAAGAACUGUAAUUUCCUAAAAUGUAACAGAUCAAGAUUAAGUCAAAUAUCCAACAUAUUCCAUAAAUACUUACAAUUAACUUUAGAUCAAGACUGUCAAAAAAAUAUCAAACGCAUCAUACAUUUCCUUCCUCUUGAUGUCAAAAUGAUCCUUUAAAUUGAACUCUUUCAAGCUCAAAUAGACAAAUGUUCAUUGUUCUUCCUAAUCUCUGCCCGCUUUCCUCUCUCCCCAACAGACAAUUCUUCAUUCAGUGUUGCUAACACAGUUGAAACCAAAUUAGAUACUGGGUUGUUAUUGUGUCUUAAGGAAGGAAUGGAGGUUCAGGUAGGCAGCUGGGGAAUGGAGAGAAAACAGAUAGCUAUAGGGCUAGCUUCUACGCGCACACACACACACACACACACACACACACGCGCGCACACACACACACACAGUGUGUGUGUGCCGUAAAUCACUGUCUUAGUGUCAUAAUCCACAUGUAGUUUUUCCCAGUACCACUAGUGCAGCUCCCAGUACCCCCACGGUCCCCAGUGUCCCCAGGGCAGCUGUCCCCAGUGCUGCAGCUCCCAGGGCCCCCGCUCCGAGAGGGGCAGCUGCCGCGGUUACCGUUUCCAUGCCAAUCCCUCUCAUCAGACUGGUCCCUAUGAGGACCUCACCCCUGAGCUUUAUGUGCGUGUGGAACGGACUCCGUGGUGCACCCAGUAGGAAGGCCCCCACUGCAACAAGGGCCACUGUUAUUACUUCAGCUGGUCCUCGAAUGUCAUUUACCAGUGCUAGACCCUGCAAGCCCAGCACGGUACCUACUGCCACAGAGCCUAGAACUACUAGUGUAGACUUAAUGGUUCUGAACUCUGAAGCAACACUCGCUGCGCCCAGUGACACUCCUGCAGCUGUGGCCCCCCCUAAUAACCCGCCAAUGCUGCCCUCCGACCCCAGCAAAGAGCAUGCUGGGACACUGAGUCUUAGGGCCGAUGACGUCACUGCCGCUGCCACAGACACCCUUGCUGCCCCCUCUGGUCCCAAACUCACCACCACCACUGUUCCCAAGGCAGCUCCCAGCAGCCCUGCAGCCAGCGUCCCAACCCAUAGGACUGACUCCAGCAUAACCAUAACCUCUGAACCCGAACUGCUGGCCCUCCCUGUAACAACUCCCAUAGGGAACCCCACUAUUGCCACGACAACAAUGUACAGCAGUAACCGCUGGGACCAUUUUCUGUGUCCGUUGUCUCUCCGGCGGGUUCUCUCCGAUAGGGCCUUCAGUAGUGCGCAGGCAGAUGAGGCAGCAAUGCCCAUAGUGAACAGUCCUGUGAGGACACCCAUGCAGCCCAACACCACACUGAGGUGAAGAGCCGAGAAGAUAACAGAGAGAACCGCCGUCAUCUCAUUCACAUGGGUGUAUGGGUACACCAACAGGACCAUGACACACUGGACCAGGAAGUGGGCUGGCACAGGAAGGGCACUUGCUAGUGUUCCAGUUGCCAUGGCUCCUACCGCCAUGGUGAUCCCUACGGCAAUCUCUGGCCAUCUUGCUCUUGCUUCACCUUCCCUCCUCAUCAGUUGCAUCGCAUUGGAGGCCAGAAGAAGUCCGACUCCCAAGGACACCAACGCUGUGGUGAACACCAGCCACGCCAACCCGUCCUGCCGCCCGUACUGCCGUUAUCAUAAGUGUCCCAUUUUGGGGCAGAACGGGUUCAGCUGCAGCCCUGGCCGUCACUCCGAGGGCAAACCCAGCCACGGCGCUCCUCAGCACAACCGCCAACCCCCUGACCAUACCUAGAAAGAGAGUGACAGAACAUUGACCACCAGGUGUGUGUAAAGGU
ensembl:lncRNA